AUACGAAGUGGCAAUCCUAGAUUUCUAGGUAGAGGGCAGUUAUGCUUUCUUGUAUGCCCACAAUGUAUUUCUUUAUUGCUUUUACAUUCCACCUUUCUUCCAGUUCCACAGACGGCAAGGAGAGAUGUUUAUUCCAGCUGCCAUCAAUUUAUUUAAGGCGAAGUUGAUGGUCCAAAUGUUAUAUGGGGUGCAGUCAGGACCCUAUAGCAAUUACACACUUUUGGAGGAGGUCCAAGCCAGGUUUUUAGGAGCACUAUUUCUGACCCCUAACUGUAUUUCUAACAGCACUGUGAAACUGGAAUAUGGUGUUAUUAUGAUUGAGUCCAGAGCCUGGUAUUUAAUACUAAUAACCUGGGUAAGAAUCAACUUAACGUCCUUCAGUCUCCUGUCAUUAUUAUCAGAUAGACACGGCUUGAGUUGGCGGGAGAACUGCAUAAGGAAAUUCUGCAGAAAUGGUCUUUUGCCAGAAGCAAUCCUCUCAGUGGGAUUGGAAAAGGCCAAAGAACUUAUCGAACAAAGGAUUCGUGAUAUCGAGAUUCAGAAUGACCUGACGAGGACACCUGGGGUAUUCCAGCUGCUUAGUGGUGCAUUGAUAACUCACCCAACAGAUUGAAGUUCUUCUCAUGAUUGGUGAGAAGAGCUUCUUCCAGGUCUGUGGGGAGAGUGGGUUCAGCUUGCUAUCCCCGAAGAUGAUCAAAAGGCAGCCCCGGGUGGCUGGAUCGGCCGCCCACAUGACUUCCAGCUCCAUCAUGGAGCCAGCGGGGGCUGUGGGGAUCCAUGCAGCCACCAGAAGUUCCAGGAUGCCCAGUGCAAGUGUGCAGGGCAUUCUGGAGAGACCCCCAAGCCCAGGAGGCUGCUUGCAGCCUCCCAGUCUCGGGUCUACUCAUGUGUUGCUGCAUGCCAUGGCAACACACGAGGAAAAAAAUGGAGCACUCACUACGUUAACCUAAUUUAAAGGGAGGGGGAAUUAGGGGGCGCUACUCGCCUUGGGAGCACCAGGCUUGCCUGUGAGCCCCGGUGGGUCCCAUGAUCCCAGGAAAGGGGGAUAAGCUCCCCUAGCCUGCUUUCCAGGAGUUGUGGGAAUAGCCUUGUUAUCUAACCUUCCUUAAAUAUAGAUGGGCUUUCCUGAGGGCCCUCCCCUCAGAAUUACUAACUGGGUAGAUAUAGUAGGGUAGAGAAAGCCAAAGAUUACCAGAAAGAAGUCAGUAUGUGCUUUAUUGACUACAGAGAAGCCUUUGAUUGCGUUGACCAUGUCACGUGGAAUAUCCUUAGGAAAAUGGGCAUCCCAGAACACCUCAUUGUUCUCAUGAGAAACCUAUACACAAGGCAGGAAGCCACAGUCCAGACAGAACAUGGUGAAACAGACUAGUUCCAGAUUGGGAAAGGAGUAAGACAAGGCUGUAUACUUUCUCCUUAUUUAUUCAAUUUAUAUGCUGAACAUAUACUGAGAGAAGCUGGAUUGGAAGAAGAUGAGUGUGGUUUUAAAGUUGGAGGAAGAAACAUCAAUAACCUGCGCUAUACUGAUGUCACCACUGUGAUAGCUGAGAAUGCGGAUGAUCUGCAAGUUCUAAUAAUGAAGGUCAAGGAGCACAGUGAAAAAAUGGGACUACAAUUAAAUGUAAAGAAGACUAAACUAAUGACAAUGGGUAUGGCAACCAGCCUCAGAACUGACAGUGAAGAUACUGAAGUGGUGCAUAGCUUCUGCCUUUUAGGAUCGACCAUCAACAGUAAAGAAUCCAGCAGUCAAGAAAUACACCACAGACUAGCAGUUGGUGAGGUUGUAAUGAAGGCCUUGGAAAGGAUAUUUAGAUGCUGUGAUGUGUCUACAAAGAUUAGAAUCAUUUGGACUGUGGUUUUUCUCGUGACACUCUAUGGAUGCAAAAGCUGGACUUUGAAGAAGCAAGAUAGAAAAAGUAUUGACGCUUUUGAACUUUGGUGCUGGAGAAGACUUUUGAGGAUACCAUGGACAGCCAGGAAAACAAACAAAUGGAUCACAGAACAAAUCAAUCCAGAAUUUUUACUAAAGGCACAAAUGACCAGGCUCAAACUAUCAUACUUCAGACACAUUAUGCGAAGACCCAGCUCGCUUGAGAAGUCCAUAAUGCUGUGGAAAGUUGAAGGAAAGAGAAGAAGAGGACCACCAGCAGCAAGGUGGAUGGACUCAAUUACGACAGCAAUGAAUGCACCACUUUGAGACCUUAAAGGCCAAGUUGAAGACAGAUCAUCCUGGAGAGAAUCUAUCUGUGUGCUAUUGCUAAGAGUCGACACCGACUUGAUGGCACUUAAUCAAUCAAUCAAUCAGAUAUAGUAGAAUUCCAAUAGAGCAGAGAUAUUGCCUCUGCAAUUCAGAAGAGAUUGAGUCAGUUGCACAUGUGAUCUUGUGCCAUGCACACUUAGGCUUCCGGCAAACAUUAAUCGAUCCUGUUCGACAAAACCUUCCAGGUCAAUCAGACAAAUUGUAUGUCAAAUGUUUCCUAAUAGAUAUGAAUUCAAUCAUAUUCAAUCAUAUACUCAGUUCAGAAAUUUUGUUGCUCUACAAUACAAGUUCGACAUAUUCUGCCCGUGAAUGGCUAGAACGAAUGUACAGAUAUGUUAUUAGUAUAGCUGUGUUCAAAUUAUAUAACUGUUUUAGGUAUACCGAUAUUAGCUAAAGACCUUAAUAAAGACUGACUGAUUGACUGACUGACACCUUUCUUCUAUCAUGGAGCUCAGUGCGGCAUACAAUGUGGAAUUCCUCAGUGUGGGAUACCCAGGGAGUCACCUAUUCAGGCACUGACCAGACCAUACCUUGGGAAUGUUGAUCUCAAAUGGAAAUUUGAAUGUACAUUUCUUCACACCUGAAAACAAGCCAAUGCAUGCAGCUUAAUCUUUUGCACAUAUGCUUGGAAAUUUAAUGGGACUUACUUUCAUGACUUUCCUAUCACACAAAUCAUCUUGCAAUUCCAUCAUAGAUUCCAGUGAGAACAAAGGAAAAGUUUCACCAUGUGACAAAAUCAGGAACAUUAUUAUUUUAAAAGGAAAAUUCUUCUGAAUAGCAUCGAACAAAAAAGAGUGCCUAUUCCCUUGAUUCCUUAAUAAUACUUGUCAGUCAGACUCCACAAUGAGUUAAUCUCACUUUCUACAGAAACUUAUUUCUGUUCCGAAAGGCUCUCUGCUAUUUGCUAUAACUCAUCUGGUCUUGGCAUUGGAACCAACUAGAGCUUUUGUUUCAGAAAGGGUGUGGUGUGGAUUGUGAGUGCGGGAAUAUCAACGGCUCCACUGGUCUCCACAAUAUCAUUCAAGACGAGCUGCAUAUUGCUCCCUACGGUAGAAAUUCAACCAGUGGAGCUUUCUCAGCACGGAGAUACAAAGAGGGGGAUUCAAUGGCCAUGGUACAAGGCACAGAAACCCUGCUAUCAAAAAAGUUACAAUCCAGUCAUGGUCUCUGACAGAAAAAGAAAGACUAGUAUGAAAAGGCCAACGUCAGUUUCCUCUCAUCUGUCUGCCAAGUUUGUCUACCCUAAGAGAUGUCCUAAGCCUUUGCAGGUGGUUGGUGAGCUGAGGGUAGGAAAGAAAACCUGCCGGCUGAAAUACUGAAUGGACAUGGAAGGCACAGUUGAGGCCAAGCUUUCCAGUCUGCUUACAGGCUAGUUUUUAAUUCCUGUCCAAGACCAUGUGGCAGGAAAGUGGUGGGGGAAGAGGUCAGUACCAGGCCAGCUGAAAUUUGUAGGGGAGAUGUACCCCACCUGCCCGCGUACACAUGGUCUCCUUCAGCUCAGUUCCUGUCCUGGAAGGAAGCUGGCCUGGCUUCUGGGAGGCUGGAGUCUUCUUCUUCUUCUACUACUACUACUACUACUACUACUACUACUAUUACUACUAAAGGCAGACAACAACAGAAAAACCUGUGGAUUAGUGUGACAGCAAUGUUUAAGAAGAAUUUGGUAUCAUGUGCCUCUGAGCAUAUGCAGUACAAAUAACAGCUAAAUGUGCCACCCUCCUGGACUGCUGCCCUUACUAAGCCUCCCAGCAAGUUGAUACCAUCAGUCACCUUGAAAGCAUGUCUUAUUUUAACUGAAAAUAAAUAAUAUAAAACAUAA